GCUUGUCUCAAAGAUUAAGCCAUGCAUGUCUAAGUAUAACUCUUUUACUUUGAAAACUGCGAACGGCUCAUUAUAUCAGUUAUAGUUUCUUUGAUAGUCCCUUACUACUUGGAUACCCGUAGUAAUUCUAGAGCUAAUACAUGCAUCAAUACCCAACUGUUCGCGGAAGGGUAGUAUUUAUUAGGUAUAGACCAACCCUCCUCGGAGGUGCUUUGGUGAUUCAUAAUAACUCGCGGAUCGGUUUACCGAUGCAUCAUUCAAGUUUCUGCCCUAUCAGCUUUGGAUGGUAGGGUAUUGGCCUACCAUGGCUUUAACGGGUAACGGAGAAUUAGGGUUCGAUUCCGGAGAGGGAGCCUGAGAAAUGGCUACCACAUCCAAGGAAGGCAGCAGG
rnacentral:rRNA from 1 species